AUGCAGCGAGCAAUUCAAGCUAUCGGAUCACAUGGCAGUGUGCUCAAAUCUGCUGUCCUGCAACACAUCAGUGUUGUGAAGCCUGCUAUGCUGCCUGCUGUGUUCCCGCGCUUCAUGUCAGUAUCACCUGCUCAAAUAGAGGAGAGUGGAUUUGAGAGCAGCACCGUUGCAGAUAUUUUGAAGUCCAAAGGGAAGAGUGCUGAUGGAUCAUGGCUCUGGUGCACCACUGAUGACAGUGUCUAUGAUGCUGUCAAAUCGAUGACACAGCACAAUGUGGGAGCUUUGGUGGUUGUUAAACCUGGGGAAGAUAAAUCAAUUGCGGGCAUCGUCACAGAGAGAGAUUAUCUCCGGAAAAUCAUAGUGCAGGGUCGAUCCUCCAAGUCAACCAAAGUUGGAGAUAUCAUGACCGAAGAGAACAAGCUGAUCACGGUGAAACCUGAAACCAGAGUCCUGAAAGCAAUGCAGCUGAUGACAGACAAGCGUAUCAGGCACAUCCCGGUGAUAAGCGGCACCGAGAUGAUGGGGAUGGUCUCCAUCGGCGACGUGGUGCGCGCGGUGGUCAGCGAGCACAAGGAGGAGCUGAACCGGCUCAACGCCUACAUCCAGGGUGGGUACUAG
rnacentral:rRNA from 1 species